UACGGAGGAUCCAAGCGUUAUCCGGAAUCAUUGGGUUUAAAGGGUCCGUAGGCGGGCAGCUAAGUCAGUGGUGAAAUCCAGCUCAACUGUGGAACUGCCUUUGAUACUGGUUGUCUUGAGUUAUAUUGAAGUGAGUAGAAUAUGUAGUGUAGCGGUGAAAUGCUUAGAUAUUACAUAGAAUACCGAUUGCGAAGGCAGCUCACUAGUAUACACUGACGCUGAUGGACGAAAGCGUGGGGAGCAAACAGGA
rnacentral:rRNA from 1 species